rnacentral:tRNA from 1 species
GCCGUCUUAUCUCAGCCGGUAGAGCGCAUGGCUUUUAACUGGUCGUGGGUUCGAUUCCCACAGACGGCG